GACGAACGCUGGCGGCGUGCUUAACACAUGCAAGUCGAACGGUGAACCAGGGCUUGCCCUGGGAAUCAGUGGCGAACGGGUGAGUAACACGUGGGCAACCUGCCCCUGACUCUGGGAUAACUCCGGGAAACCGGCGCUAAUACCGGAUAUGACCUCUGACCACAUGGUCGGAGGUGGAAAGUUUUUCGGUCAGGGAUGGGCCCGCGGCCUAUCAGCUUGUUGGUGGGGUAAUGGCCCACCAAGGCGACGACGGGUAGCCGCCCUGAGAGGGCGACCGGCCACACUGGGACUGAGACACGGCCCAGACUCCUACGGGAGGCAGCAGUGGGGAAUAUUGCGCAAUGGGCGAAAGCCUGACGCAGCGACGCCGCGUGAGGGAUGAAGGCCUUCGGGUUGUAAACCUCUUUCAGCAGGGACGAAGCGAAAGU
rnacentral:rRNA from 1 species